CAAGCUACAACUACUUGGAUUGGUCAUGAGCACAUUUGAUCCCUUUCUAACCAAUAUUUGAUUCGAUUUGAUCAAUCGCUUAAACUAGACCUAAUUUAGCUACCCACACUCUGAACCCAUGUAUUAUGAAAUUGACUUAGAUCUUCAAUUCUUAAUUUUUAGAUCUAUUUAAUUUCAUAUUUUAAUUUUUAAUUAAGUUCAUGGGCCAAAUCAGAUGUCUAAAUAAUUUAGAUCAACAUUCUAUUGCAUACAAAAUUUUUUGCUCACUCU
rnacentral:lncRNA from 1 species